rnacentral:sRNA from 1 species
UGCACACUUAUUAUCGGGUAUACUUGCCU